CCCAACUCUGCUUGCAGCUUUAAUUCACAUCAUGACUAUUAACAGGGAGCUGAACAUAUCGGAUGCCACCACUGAGCACCCUGCAUGGAGCCUGUCUGGAGCUGAGGGGAGGGGGACACCAAGUCUCCCCCUCAUUAUGGUGGCCAACGCGGCCGCAGGACGAACCGGGCGGAUUUGAGGUCAUCUUGAAAAAUAACGGUAACGUUAUCCCUCCGGCUCCAGUCUGGGAUUUGCCAUGUAUGCUAGCUGGAGAUGAGAAUGAAACCCAGUCGCAACUUCCUCCUGGGCUUGUGCUGCAUGCUGGCCCUGGGAUACCUCUACUACUUGUCUAGGAAGACCAGCUUACGAGGCUGGGGCUACAAAUCAUUGUAUGACAGUCAAGGGUUCCUUCUGAAGCUGGAUGGUAGGCUGCCUUUGGAGCUGAUGUACAAGUACAGCAAUCUCAGUGAGGGAGCCUGUAAGCCUGGUUUUGCAGCUGCCAAGAUGACUGCCAUUUAUCCAAAGUAAGAAUACUUACCAUAUCUUUAUACACGUUUAAAGUGACCGUGUAGCAUUUUAGACUUCAAACGUAAUUGUCAGAUAUGUUGUGAUAAGUGUGAUCCAGAUAUCCUGUUAACUUAUUUAGUCUUUACACAUGUCCCUGAAAAUGCAUGAUAUCAAUCGUAUUACAAAAUGAGAUUGUGGGUUAUUACUGUAGAGAGUCCAUUGUUGCUGUCUUCAGACACUUCGAAGCUACAUUUGUUAUUACAGUGAAUAUGUUUUCCUACCGUAGCAAUUUCCAGACUUAACAAUUUGAUGGUAGAAACUCAACAAAUCACAUAAAUGUUUUAAA